rnacentral:ncRNA from 1 species
UAAAAGUCUCACAUUUAAGAUUUUUAUUUUACAUUUCAAUUAUCCUUUCUGGAGUAGGGUUCGGCCUACCUACACUAAGGCUUAGUUUCGAAGUGGGUGUCAUCAUGACCUCGACUUUUAGAUGUGCUCCUGGCUUUCUGUCGGCGAUGCGCUCCUGGCCUUAACUGGCUGGGUCGUGCCUCCGGCGUUGUUUAUUUGAAGAAAUUAGAGUGCUCAAAUCAAGCCUACACUUUGUAUACAUUAUCAUGGGAUAACAACAUAGGAUUUCGGUCCUAUUACGUUGGCCUUCGAGAUUGGAGUAAUGGUUAACAGGAACAAUCGGGGGCAUUCCUAUUUCAUAGUUAGAGGUGCAAUUCUUAUAUUUAUGAAACAUGAACAACUGCGAAAACAUUUAUCAAGGAUGUUUUCAUUAAUCAAGAACGAAAGUUGGAGGCUUGAAGACGAUCAGAUAUCAUCCUAGUCUCAAUCAUAAAUGAUGCCGACCAGGGAUCGGCGGAUAUUUGUUUUUUGGACUCCGCCGACACCUUAUGAGAAAUCAAAGUUUUUGGGUU